rnacentral:rRNA from 1 species
GACGAACGCUGGCGGCGUGCUUAACACAUGCGAGUCGAACGGAAAGGCCCUGCUUUUGUGGGGUGCUCGAGUGGCGAACGGGUGAGUAACACGUGAGUAACCUGCCCUUGACUUUGGGAUAACUUCAGGAAACUGGGGCUAAUACCGGAUAGGAGCUCCUGCUGCAUGGUGGGGGUUGGAAAGUUUCGGCGGUUGGGGAUGGACUCGCGGCUUAUCAGCUUGUUGGUGGGGUAGUGGCUUACCAAGGCAUUGACGGGUAGCCGGCCUGAGAGGGUGACCGGCCACAUUGGGACUGAGAUACGGCCCAGACUCCUACGGGAGGCAGCAGUGGGGAAUAUUGCACAAUGGGCGGAAGCCUGAUGCAGCAACGCCGCGUGCGGGAUGACGGCCUUCGGGUUGUAAACCGCUUUCGCCUGUGACGAAGCGUGAGUGACGGUAAUGGGUAAAGAAGCACCGGCUAACUACGUG